rnacentral:rRNA from 1 species
AGUGAACGCUGGCGGUAGGCCUAACACAUGCAAGUCGAACGGCAGCACAGUAAGAGCUUGCUCUUACGGGUGGCGAGUGGCGGACGGGUGAGGAAUACAUCGGAAUCUACUUUUUCGUGGGGGAUAACGUAGGGAAACUUACGCUAAUACCGCAUACGACCUACGGGUGAAAGCAGGGGAUCUUCGGACCUUGCGCGAUUGAAUGAGCCGAUGUCGGAUUAGCUAGUUGGCGGGGUAAAGGCCCACCGAGGCGACGAUCCGUAGCUGGUCUGAGAGGAUGAUCAGCCACACUGGAACUGAGACACGGUCCAGACUCCUACGGGAGGCAGCAGUGGGGAAUAGUGGACAAUGGGCGCAAGCCUGAUCCAGCCAUACCGCGUGGGUGAAGAAGGCCUUCGGGUUGGAAAGCCCUUUUGUUGGGAAAGAAAAGCAGCAGGUUAAUACCCCGCUGUUCUGACGGUACCCAAAGAAUAAGCACCGGCUAACUUCGUG